UACGGGGGGGAGCAAGCGUUGUUCGGAUUUACUGGGCGUAAAGGGCGCGUAGGCGGCCAGCACAAGUCAGUUGUGAAAUCUCCGGGCUUAACUCGGAAAGGUCAACUGAUACUGUGCGGCUAGAGUGCAGAAGGGGCAACUGGAAUUCUCGGUGUAGCGGUGAAAUGCGUAGAUAUCGGAAGGAAGACCAGUGGCGAAGGCGGGUCUCUGGACAGUUUCUGACGCUGAGGCACGAAGGUCAGGGGAGCAAACGGG
rnacentral:rRNA from 1 species